AAAAUGUAUUGUUUUUAAUGUGCACAGCAUAUGACCAAUGAAUUAUAACUUCCAUAUGUUCUAUUGCACUCCAACACAGAUUCCUGGAAAGAAAAAUUUAUGUUAUUCUACUUAUAAUGCUUCCGAACAAGUGGUUUGCAUGUAAAAAUUGAUUUUAAAUAAUCAUUAUGUAAUUAUCACUGAAACCUGUGCAAAGAUGUUAUAAGUCAUUCAUUCCAUACUAUAUAGUCAUGUAAGAAUUUUAUGUUUGCAUAUCACCAUUUGAAAUGGAUGUUAAAUGGUGGUGAUGAUGGUGAUAUAUAUAUGUAUGUGUGUAUAUGUAUAUAUGUGUGUAUAUAUAUAUAUAUAAAGAUACAUGUGCUCCCAGUGAUACAUUCUGAUUUAUCUCUCAUGAAAUAUAUAAUCACAGAGGACUCCAUGAAUAAUUAAUGAUUAAUGCUCAGCUGAAAUGUCUAGAACUCUGUCAGUAGCUUACAUGAUUUAUGUAACACAAUUCAGCAAGUCAAAAAUCUCACAAGAAAAGCAUUUGUGAAAGUUUCCUAUAUAUAUAUAUGUUUUUU